AAUGUUUUGGUCACUCAAGUAUGUCAAAUAGCAGGUCAGUUUUCUUCCACAUUUCUAAAAUAAUAAGCAACAUGGCCAUCGUAUCUGUUAAUUUUAAGGAAUCUGCUAAUCGCGGUGCGCACGCGCGUCGCUACGCACGAUCUGAGCCCGGUGUGCACGUAAAAUCAGUAAUCAGUGUUGCAAGUCUAUGCCAACAAGAGCAUUGAUUUACUAUUGAGACUUUAACGACACUGGAAAUUACUCGCUUUUGAAACGCAAAUUCGUCAAUCUAUUAGCCAAACGGCUUGUGGUGAUGUCCCAGGAUCUUCAGAAUAGACCGCAUUCGAUUUGUUUAAAUAAUUUAUUUAUUCGAUAUAUAACUUUCUAAUUAGCUUCACUGUUCAGAAAUAUAACGAAAAACUUCUAAAAAUGGAGGAAGACUGAUUGCAGCAUUGUUAUGCUCAGAUCUCUGACUGAGAUGGACUGGUUGAAAUGAAAAAAAUUGUGUAUGUGAUAUGUUUUUAAGUGUGUAAGAAAUCUAAUGAUUCAUUAAUCAUUUACAAAUUUAUUUUUAUAACUUAGCAUACUCACUCAGAAAGCGUAGUCCAUGUUCGCAUUACGCAUUAUCUAUUCAAAUAAUCGUAGACCCAUUAUAAAAUAGCAAUCGUAGGAUCAAUAAAUAAAACCGCAUACCCAUUGGUUGAGAAUGCAGACGCAUUGCACGAACUAAAGACAAAUAAAUGAUAAAGACUGGACCAUACCAAAGCACUAACUAUCACGCAUAGAGCCGUAGGAGCUAUUGGAACGGCAGUUUGAAUGAAGAUUUUUAGUUGUUGUUUAAUAAGUUUUAUGAAGUAUAAUUAUUAAUGGUAUAUACAAUCAUAAUAAUACUUAAAUCUAAAAUAAUAAGUUAAAUACUAUGCUAAGUAUAAUAUUUUAUACAGUACAUAUGGUGCUACUUUACCGCCCUAGUGCGGUAACUAAAACUAUUCGUGCGUAGGUCGAAAAUUGAAAGGCUCAUAUCUACUGUAAAACGUACCAUCAGCCGUAAAAAUGCAUGGCGACUUUAUCAAUGAAUCCAUACAUAAUUUUUCCAUGAAAUUUCGCAGCUCACUGUACAAUACACAUGUGAGAAGGUAAUUCGCAAUUACUAUUUACCUAGUCCUAUUUACUUAUUCCUAAAUACCUUUUCUAUAUAUUUCUUUUUGCCACUUUCCCGAGACGAUAGACAUCCCGACUGUAGUCGGGAUGUCUAUCGUCUCUAAUUCUCCCUCAAUUGUUGGAAGGUUAACUGGAAGAGAUCCUUUAAAGGGAUAAGUUCGCCUUUGUACUAAUGAUAAGUGUUUUUUUCUUAUUUUGUUUUAUUAUUGUACAAUAAAGAGUUUGACUACUCCAGUAAUUAUUAUAUUUCGCAUUUGUAUCGUAAUGUACUAUUUCGAAAAUACCACGAUGGGCUACCCAGUGCAAAGGUGCCCAUCAAAUUCUCCGCAUUACUACGUUGGAUGGCCAACCUUUGCACGAGAUACGAACCCGAACCGUGCAAGUAUCGCAGGUCUUCUUCGGGAAUUUUGUGUACCAAUUUAGAAUGAAAAUUUAAAAUCUUUAUUUACAAUAACAAUAUACAUAAUGGAUAUAUGUAUACAGAUGAUUACUAUAACUAGCUUAUAUCUAAAAUUCCCUUCCCUUGAGGCAUUGUACCAAGGAUGCUGGCGGCAUUUCCUCGUUGUAUCGCAAUACUGAUACGUUGUGCGAGGAAGCCGCCAGCUCUUCGGUCACCACUUACGUCAAUCAGAUUUUUCGCGAUUAUUCCAAAAAACUUGUGCGCGCUGUGACCCCAGGGACCUAGAGUUUCAACGCCAAAUGGUACAAAAUGGUCCUCUCUACACCUGAAAUGUAUGCGUUCCAAACCUAAAAUGUAUAUCAAUAAUACAAAGGCACACGACUUGAUACAGAAAUUGACAGUCUUUUUAUUGACAAGUCUCUUCGUGAACUAAUUAAGUUGGGUAACGCAUAGCUGCAAUAAUGAGCAUGAUAACAUCUCGAUGGCUGGACGGUGGAUUUCAGUUUGCGUCAUUUUGCGGACUCCCCAUUUUAUUGAUUAUUUAAAUAGCUAUUGAACAGAUAUAUUUAGAAUGGCCGUAAUAUCUCACAGGCUUCCCAAUACUAAGAUUUUUUGAUUGUACAAGGAGAAUUAAAGAAUUCUUGGGGUAUCUGUGUUGACAGUUUUAUUUAUAACAUAACACAAAAGUUAAAUUUCUUAGAAAUCAGCAAAGCGUGACCCAAAUUCAAGAAGCCUUUUGGGUAAAGUCCGAAGUUUUAAACAACAUUAAUCUGUAUUCGGCGUUUUGGCUGGGUUAUAGGUGUUGCAAUCAUUUUUGACAUAACCCUCCCACUGUUAAUUAAUUCAAUUUUUUUAAUGACAAAAAAAUAGGUGGCACACGAGCAGGCGAAUCUCCUGAUGGAAGUAAUUACAGUCGGCUAUGGUCACCUGCAACACCAGAGGGGUUACAAGUGUGUUGCCGGCCUUAAAUACUCCCAAGUACGUUAUUUUCUUCCAAGAUUCUAUCCAUCUGGAUAUACCGCGGGCAGUUCAAUCCACAGUUAAGCUGUGCAAGGCAGGCAGUAUCUGGAAAAAUGCACAGUUAGUUUGAUUUUUGUCAAACCUUGCUAAGAACCACCGCAAGAUAACACACUUUCACGUAAAAAAUCGCACCGAAAGUGGUCCAUCCGAUUGAAACUAUUGAAAGCUACGAUGCCACAGACAGACACAUAGACAAACAUUGUCGUCAAACGUAUAACACCGUUCUUUUCUCUACAGGGGUUAAAAAAAGGUGUAUUCCCAUCUGUGCCCGCCUCUUGUAUGGCGGUAGUCACAUGGGACGGGCACAUAUGGGAAUACACCGUUAAAAAACAAUAAAUAUUCUCUGAAAUGUCCCAUGUUUGGUGCCAUUAUCAUGGGUACAAUUGGCUUUUUUUAUAAAUAACGUAAUUAAAAAUUAUAUAUUUUAUAUCCGUUCUCGCCAAAAUAAUAAAAAACAUCCAAAAAUGUACGCAACGUGUUUUAUUUAAAUUAUUCUCCAUAAAACGUUAAUUAAUCCAUUAUGCUUGCUUAUUUUGGGCAUUUUUUAUACGUUUUUUUUUAUUUUAUUUUCUCCGUAUUUUGAUAAAGUUUGGUGGAUAGAUAGUUUCUUAUUCUGUACAACAUUAGUGCAAUGUCACCGUAUGUCCUACAAAAUCUUCCACUGUGUUACGGGAAACCUAUGGAAUAUAAUGAUAUAUAAAGAGAAAACUUAAUAUAACUGAAACUGCUGGAACUAACAGAACUUGUUCUCAUUCGUAGACAACAACGAUAAAGUAAAAUUGAUUAAUCAUGGUUGGUCUCUCGGCGCAAGUAAUAUUUGAAUAGCGGCUAGGAACCGCUCAAACAAAUUCAAGUUUUCAUUCUAAUGGGAAUGAUGGCAGCCUUGUAAUUUAUCAUUUAGCGUUAGGUACACUCAGCGAUAUGUUCCUGCUCUGGCGGUUCAAGGAGACUGGCUAAUUAGUCACGACGGUUGCUGCCUAUGCCGACGAUUGCUGUUGCCUCUUGGACAACUAUUGGAAUGAGUUGGUAGCUUUUGUUUGAUUGUGAAACGGUACAAUUCUCAAGUUAUUAUCAAGGCACGACCGCUGAAGCCUAGAACUACGAGUAUGAAUCAAUUAUUUCGUAAAAAUACGUUACAAAACU